rnacentral:lncRNA from 1 species
UGGGGGGCUACUGUUCAACCUACUGUAUACUCACUAACUAUAUUAUCUAUCAUAAUAGAUAACUAUUAAUUACUUCCAACAAAUUUCAUGGGUGCAGAACAACACAAUUUAGUAGGGUGUGGUAUAUAAUCAUUACUGCCCUGACAUCAUCUAAUCCAAAAGAAAUCUAGGCAUUUUAUUGUCUAGUAGUCUAGAUUGUAGACAGGUUAACAGGUGCUUAUUUCAGAAUCAUCAAGGAAGACACCAAAAAUACACUUAAAAAUGUCUCAUACAUAAAUUUCAUUAGUUAGUG